AUACAUAAAAAUACAGAGUACAGUAAAUAACAUACAAGUUGAUAACAUAUUGACAAGUUGGUCCGUCCAAAAUUUUCCACACAGAGGAAAUUGGUUAUGAAUUAUUCAACUUUACAAAACAAUUCUAAUCAACAUAAAAAAAUAUACAAAUCUAAUAAGUAAGUAACAUAGGCACUGUAGCAUAUAUUUUGGUUGGGAUGGCGUGAACUCCACAGGAAACGAGCAGACAUUUGAUUUAUCAAUCCGAAAAAUAAAAUAAGUACAUUGAAACUAGCGUACUACAUUUACUAUUAUAUCGCGUCACGCUCAUCAAGAUUUUGAUUGGUUGGCUUCAGACAUCCAUCCGCAGCCCUGAACAACGUUUUGUGUGCGUUAAAAACUAAACAAUACGUUACAGUUUCCGCAUGUUUACAUUAUUUUCCUUGUCCCCACACAUCAAGGUGGAAACAUUUACAGGACUGCGGAGAAUAAAGAACUGGAAGUCACCUGUACAGGUAGACUUUGCUCUCUGAGAAGGAGCACGUGCGGUACUAGAUGACUGUCACAACAGAAGGAUGAAGUAGGACCUCGUUUGCAAGGCAGUCAAUGGAUGGUUUCAGCUCAAAGAAUAGCGUGAGUUUUACCUGCGUCUUCCCUCCUGUGCUCUCUUGUAUGGCGGUUCUAGAAAGGGCUGUGCUGGCAGCAAAUGAUCGGAAAGAUGCCCCAAAAAUGUUGCUCACCCCGAAAGCAAGGAGCUCCUGUUACAUACAGAGUAUCUGUGUGCUGAGAAUGAACUGACUUCUGUGACGUGAGGUGGCGAGCAGUUAGUCAAGUACAAACUCGAGACCAUUUCUAGAGGGAAGAGCGGCACCUUCCUUGGAGGGAUGAAGACCAUCUCUUUUUAGCAGAUCAGGUUUAAUCCCAGGUGCUUGCUGGGUCACUUACUUCCACUGCUUGGAUUUUCAACCCGUUGGAUGUGCUGUCGCUGUUAAUGUGUUGAUAUUGAAAACUUCCUGAGACCUGUUUACUCUUCAGUGGAUGGGACUCGUGAAUGAAGAGUAUUGCAUCAUGGAUGGUCAAAAAGAAGAUAGACGUCUUGAUUUCAUCAUCAAAAAAUGUACAGUUCCUCAGCUUCUCUAUGAUAUAUGCUGGAAACGGCAUGUCAGAGAAUAAACACAACUGCCGUACCGCUUUAAGACCCUUGAGUGCAGAUAUGUCCAGAAAUGAGACCGCAGAGAAGUCCAGAAUCAAACUGUGGAUGUUCACAGAAGGAACUCGGAUGUUGGCAGGAAGUUCUGCAUUCCAGUUCACCUGGAUCGGAAGAUCUGAAUAGUCUGUGGGCUUGUCUAGAUCCUCCAUGUUGCUUUCAUCCUCUGACUCUUCAAUGAACAUUAAGCAUGUGGCCUGAAGUCCAUUCUAUAUCCGAAAGAAAUCAACUUUAAAGAUUCUCAGAGGAUUAAAGCCCACCUGCCACAAAGUGAACAGUUAAUUAGAUCUGUCAGCACUUACAACUGAGCCCUGAAGACCACAGUGAGGAGCUCCAGUCCAAGACCAACAGCAAGUCCUAAGUCCAGCCCCAAGAAUAUAGCUGCCAGACAGGUCCCCACCCAAACAAUCUGGAAAAAAGAUGACAGUCGGUGACAUUGCACCGAGAACAGAAAUCAGUGAUAUACCAUUAGAAAGAUGGAGAAGUCAAAGGCUCUUACACAGUCAGGACGGUCUUUCUUCCAUAGGCCCUCAAAAGCAGUGAUGUUGGCAGGCGGACCCUCAUCGGGCACCAAUCUGGUCACUACGGCCCCCACCAUGAGACUCAGUACAGGGAAAGAUCCUGGUGUGAAGAACAACACUAAUGUAAAGAGGAAGAGAUGAUCAAUUCACUUGCCACUUGAACUGAGGCGCUACAGCGAUCUGUCACGGCACAUUAAAGAGCCACAAAACGGUAUUUAUUGUUUGAAUUUCUUUGGUCCAAGAUGUAUUUUUCACUGCUUGAGAACAUGUGUGGUGUGAGAGCAGCAUGGCUUGUCAGACAUAGCAACAGUAAUGAAGGGGGGAGGGUCUUUGCGAAGGGUCAACUGACACAUGGAACUGUUGGCAUGUAGAAGAUCUGCUACAUGAACACAGCUAAUGGAUCCUCAUCAUUUCUAGUGGAGGUUUCCAGCUGGAUGAAUAGUAUGGCAUCAUGGACGGAGAGGAAGAGAAUGUCUCUAGUAACCUCCUCAUCAAAGAAGGACAGGGCCUCCAUUCUCCUGACAAGCUCACCUGUGACACAAGGACCCUUUAGGUUAUUCACUGUGUCCUAACCUGCCAUUAUCAGGUGGGAGUUUGUAGCAACAGCUUGUUGCAACAUACUGUUAAAGAGUCAGGCCUUACCAUCGCAGCCUGCGAUGUAGACGCUGACCCCAAUUCGUAUGAAUUCCUUCACCACCUGUGAAGAUGGGAAAUGAUCAAUUAGCUACUACUUGGUUUUGCUCCACAUCAUUCCAAGCCUUUCUUAUUUGAAACACACAAGAAGAUAUUUUGAAGACAAUACAAUGAAAGUCAGUGGGGUUCAAAACA